rnacentral:rRNA from 1 species
AUUGAACGCUGGCGGCAGGCUUAACACAUGCAAGUCGAGCGGAGCGAGGGUGCUUGCACCUUAGCUUAGCGGCGGACGGGUGAGUAAUGCUUAGGAAUCUGCCUAUUAGUGGGGGACAACAUUCCGAAAGGACUGCUAAUACCGCAUACGCCCUACGGGGGAAAGCAGGGGAUCUUCGGACCUUGCGCUAAUAGAUGAGCCUAAGUCGGAUUAGCUAGUUGGUGGGGUAAAGGCCUACAAAGGCGACGAUCUGUAGCGGGUCUGAGAGGAUGAUCCGGCGCACUGGGACUGGAACACGGCACAGACUCCCACGGGAGGGAGGAGUGGGGAAUAUUGGGCAAUGGGCGGAAGCCGGAUCCAGCCAUGCCGCGUGUGUGAAGAAGGCCUUUUGGUUGUAAAGCACUUUAAGCGAGGAGGAGGCUACUUAGAUUAAUACUCUGGGAUAGUGGACGUUACUCGCAGAAUAAGCACCGGCUAACUCUGUGCCAGCAGCCGCAGUAA